GGCGAGCUGGGACCUUCGGCCGGGGAUUUGGGGGGGAUGGAGGCGAGGGUACCCGGCCUUUCUCCCUGCCGCCGCCGGGCUGCCGUGGGCCCCACGCGAAAGUCCGGAAGGUGGAAGGGGCGGGCCGGGACAGGGCAGGGGGCGGCGGAGGAGGCCGGUAUCAACUUUCUUGGCUCUUCUCGUCUUUUUCGGCUCCUUUGUUCCCCCCCGCCCCCUCCCCGGUCCUGGCGGGCCGCAGCUCCCCAGCGCCUUUGUCUCCCUGGCGGAGCCGGAGGGAGCAGCCGGAGGGGACGCGGCCGAUGCCCCGGCCGGGGAGGGACUCGGUACCUGGGGAGGGGCGGUGCGAGGGUACGCGGUGCCUCGGCCGGCCUGCAGGGAGGGCCCGGGCCCUUGGCACUUGGUGGCCGCACUUUGUGUUACCGUGGUAGUUUCGACCACUGCGUGGCACCAGCACGGCUGGGUGGCACAAACCGCCCCCGGCCGCCGGCGGCCCCGGUGACGUGCAGCAUCCCGGCUGGAGAUAGGCGCUGUCGCCUGAUUGUGGCCAGGAAACAGGUUUUUGGCAUCUGGAAUUAAGUCCACUUUCAUUAACUACCUUGAGAUAAUGAAGAUGGAGCCAAGUAUUUUAAGCUUUAAAAAUACACAAAACCAAAGUAAGAAGGCCCCUACAGCAAGUGGAGAAGAGGUGACCUAGGGAGAAAAAAACUGUGGAAUUCCUGCCAUGCUGCUCUGUUGCUGAACUGAGUUCCCUGCAGCCCCAAAAGAAGAUUUCUGCUAAUAAUACUACAGAGGCAAGCUGGCAGUCUGCGUAUUAAUAUUUUCAGUGAUGUGGAAUUCUCUCCUGAAAUCAUCAUAUUCAGACGUUCUAAGACCGUGGGGAGAAUCUCAGUUUAUAUAAACUAUGUAAUAUUUUUUGAAAAAGUGAAUCCUGUGGUUUCAAAAUUCUUAGUAAAAGCACUCACCCCUCAGUGUCAGCCUUUUCAAGCCAAAGUAGUGAUUUUUGCCUCACUAUUUUUGAAUGCUUGUGGGUAGCAAGUUGCGUCACUACUGCUGCUGCCUUAGGCCUGUUUAGGAGGAUUUGGGUUUAAGGUUAAAUCAAAGUUUGAGGUUAAAUCAAAGUUUGUCAAAAAUCUGUUUCUUCUUUUGUGGUGUCAUUCACUUAGCUCUGGUUCUCAUCUGUUCAAGGAAAUCCCUCAGUGCUGAGGUGAUUUAGGGUGAAUCCUCACUAAAGGCUGUUUUACAUGACAGAGAGAAGUGUUGGAAAGAGGUCAGGGUUUCAUUGGCAUAAUCCUAUCUCAGGGUUUGGAAAAAUUUACCUUUGCUGGAGUUCAGUUGACUUUGAUUUGAGGAGGCUGCCAUUCCAACACAAUGGUUCACAAAAAAAAAAAAAAAAAAAAAAAAAAAAAAAAAAAAAAAAAAAAUCUGUGAAAAUUGGGAACACAUUCCAGCCAGGAGUUCAGAGUAUCUUCUGAGAUCUCAGGAAUCACUGUAGGUUUGCAACUGGCUGGUUCGGAGGUUUUCACCUUCCCUACCUUCAGAUGUCUGCUAGUUCUUACAGAAAGAUCUAGAAGCUUUGCAAUAAUGCUUCUUCCACGCUGUCGAAAACUACAUACCUGAGGAACUGCGAUGUCUUUAUUCCAAUUAUUUAAAAAAUGCACAUAUUUCUUACAUGAAAAAUGUGGAGUCACACAAAGGAUUGCUUUCAGUUGAGUGGUUUUUAUUUCCUGCCUAUAAAUUUAUGACAUAGCUCAGAGAUGACAUAAGUCAAAAGCUGGUAACAUAGUUACAGACUAUGGAAAAAGAGCUGGCAGAGAAUAGUCCUAUGCUACUAUUACACCUGGAAUGAAACUAACUUGUGCAGAAAUGACUCACAUGUGUAGGGGAGAUGAGCCUUGGAGAAAAGGUACCUGCAUCCUCCAAGUGAUGGUUUGUAGAAGCAGUGCAGUGGUCUUUGAAAUAUCCUGUUGGUUGAUUGUGCUCUCUGGCACUAGCAGGAACACUUGGUACACAGUGAAGUUAUAUUGGAAUUGAGAGUGGCAAAUCUUCCUAUUCUCUGCUGUUUCUUUUUUUUACCCUGUAGCUGAUUUAUACAUGAUUGCCUUCUUCUGCUGUCCUACCUUCAGCCUCCAGGGCCACAUUUGUGGUUGGUGUAUGAGGAGCAGGGGAUGAGGAAUUGUGCUCUAGGCUUCCUGCAGGUGAUAAGGGCAACAAGCACUUCACACAAACGUCUUUUGAUGACAUCUGGAUGGUAGCUCAUUUAGCGAAAAUGCAUAUAAGGUAGAUUUAGAUUGGAUAUUCAGAAGAAAUUUUGUACUGUGAGGGUGGUAAGGCACUGAUGCAGGCUGCCCAGUUAUGGGUGCCCAUUCUCUGGAAGUGUUCAAGGCCAGGUUGGAUGGGGCUUUGAGCAGCCUGGUCUAGGGAAAGGUGUCCUUAAUUGUUUUUCUUUUUAAAAAGUGUAAUGAAUGGCAGUAUUCAAAUUCAUUAGAAUAAGACUUUUCCCUGUUGCUUCAAUACCUUAAUGUUAAACAUUAUCAUAUGCAUAACAGCAUGGUAUAUAUUAAACAAAGAAGUUCAUAUUGAGUCAAAUAAUUUACAUAAUUAUUAGCAGGUCUCUUUGCUAGUUGUACAACCUUUAAAAAAAAAAAAACAAAAACAAAAAAACCAAAAAAGCUGAAGAGUGUAAUCUCCUUUAUAAAUGCUGCAGAGGCCGUUUUAUAUUUCUGAGACUUGGGAUAUCCCGCUGUCUCUUUAUGAGAUAUAUCUAGGGAUAAUCUAAAACUGGAGUUAAUUAGUGCAAUGUUUAUUCUGAUGUUAAUAUUAUUUUUCCACUCAUGGCUCUUGUUUGGUAUCUCUAUUAAAGCGCUAUGUGUUACUACACAUCAGUUUAGACCUAAUCCACCCCACUCCUAUUUAUCCUUUUGCUUUCUGUGUGGGUGUAGCUUCCUUGGUUUAAAUAGAAGUAGGCUUAAUCAAGUGUUUAAGUUUACAGGGUACAAUAAAGGGUACAAUACAAUAAUACAUUAAUACUGUUUUUGCUAAAAUGUGUCUCUAACAUUGUUCCUUUUCCCCAGCUGUCAACCACAUACUUGAUUUUCUUAUCACUUUAUCUCAAAUUAUUUCAGCAUAGCUGUCUCAAAAAUUUUACAGAUCAUAUAUAAAUAAAAACAUACUUUAAGUAACCUUCUUAAAUUUUUGAACAAACACAUCACUAAAUGGAGAACAAUAAAUAAAUAAAAAGAAAACCCAGUCAAACACACUUUUACAAAACCUAGCUAAUGAACUGUAUCUCCAGCAUAGAUAUAAAAUUCCAAAGUGAGUUGAGGAGGUGGAUAAUGAGGGACUGAAGGGCCUUUGUCCCUGUCUUUGUGCUUUUGAGGAUAACUUUGCCAAGUAUGUUUCAUUGGGCACUGAGGGAGUUUGUAGGCACUGAAUUCUUGCUUACUCCAGAAGCCAGGCAGUGAGCUAUUGGUAACUGAAAGCUGUUUUGCCCCAUUCCCUCCCAUCUUGGUUAAAAAUAACUUUUAUUUACAAGGUUAUAUUUGCUCCUGGUCAGUCCAUGAUCUGAUUCACCAUACAGCCAGACAGGCAUUUCCAUAGCCAACUGAGACAUUGCUAAAGGAACAAGAAGCAAGAAUUACCUAAGCUGCCAAAAGAAGUGAGCUUCAGGAACAAAAUAGCAUCCUUACCAUGGACGGCCAUACCAUGGCCUUGCUCCAAACUGGCAUGACAGGGACAAGGGAGUCCCUCGUCACUUUUGUAGAGCAGGAGUAGCAAGAGACUACUUUCACCGCUCUCUGCUGUAGCAGCAGUCUGUUCCCUGGAGAAAACCACCUGGAAGGAGGGGAGGUUGUAGAUAAGCCUUCCAGUCCUUACACUCUCUCGAGUGACUGGCUGGGACCUGCCGCUGUGCUUGUCACAUCCAUGCUCGACCCGAGGGGCUGUUGACAGGAUCCUGGGAGCACUUUGUUCAUACACUAUUGACAUUCAUGGUGCACUUCACAUUUCCCAAAGUUAAUGAUCCAGACUGUCUGCAGAUGCAGGCAGACAUCACUGCUCAGACCUGUGGUGCUGAUGAGCUAGUUACAAAAAUCGUAUUUUACCUAGACUGACUAAAUACAUAUAAGGUUUAUGAAAAUUGACCUUUCUUGUUGGAUGAGUUUCAGGAAACAAUUUUUCACUAAAUGACUGGCUUGAAUCUGGGCCAAAUUGGUAAGUCUGUAAGUCUGGACUAAGCAAGUAAUUUUUGAACAAAUUAUUUAUUCACUGAAGAUAGCUGCUUUUCCUCACUAGUACAUAGUUCAUGGACAGACUGUGAAACUCUUUAACUUACUUGUAAUUCAAAGUUAUUCAUACAUUUCUUCACAUAAUAAUUCUUGGUCUAAAACUAUUUAUGAAAAGAUUAUCAGUGCCUGCCAUGAAGAGACAUGAAGGAAUGGAAAUUAUGUCUGGUUCAGAAUCGGCUUGAAAAUGUAGAUGGAUAUGCUCUAACGUGAAGAAACUCUUCACUGUUCAGUGAAUGUGGCUGGUUUUCCUCAAAUCAUUUAUUUGACAGACCAGUUUUUCUGGCAUUUGACCAACUUCAUAAUUCAUAGAGAAUUUCCCUCCCCCCCGCCCAUCAUUUUCCCAGCUCUGCUGAAAGACUUGCAGCCAGACAGCUGUUCUGAAUGAAGUGUAUAUAUGGCCUCAUAUUGGUUCCUAGUAAAUAGGUACACUGGUGUGAAGCCACACGUAUUACCUUGGGGCCAUCUUUGCAGAGGACAAAAGGACAUGGACACUUGCCUGCCCACUUUGUAAUAGAAUUGGCCCCUCUGGUAUGAGCUGCAGUUAAUAAACAUUAGAAGAGCAGCAUGAACUUUCUGGUGUGAAGGGCAACACCUGUACCUGCUGUGCUGUCAGAACAAAGCUAGCCUGCUGUACCUUUUAGCAUCCCUUAACUGCUCACAAAGAGAAAGGUGAGGAGGGAGACCUGCUCUUUCCAAUCCUAAUUCACUCCUGCAUCUGGGCAAAGCUCAUAUGGGCAUUGCUCAUUGAAUCCCUCAGCUCUUCUGCAGAAAAGCUGACACUGCCUGGGGUUUCUGCUUGGAGUCCCAGACCAGGACAUUUAAAUUCUCUUUCCUCCAGUGGUAACAUAAUUCCUUUGGUUAACCCUUUGGUUAACCUCAAACCAAAGAGACUGAUUCCUUUCAACUCCAUCACCUUUCCUCCCUUCACUCUCCACUAUUCCCCUCUUGCAGCCCCUACCUUGUUCUUUUACCUGCUGCACUUACUUUUUUUUUUUGUGAUUCAUAGCUUUUCUCUUUAGUCUUUGCUAUUUUGGGGAGGAGGAUGUCUUUCCUGGCCCCAGUUAGUGCUCUUUCAAGGUUUGGCUUAUUCUUUAUAAUAUAUCCCAUUUUUUUUCUUUAUUUUAUAUUACAAUGGACCCUCCAGCUGGUAUUAACAAUCACUGAGAGUUCCUACCCAAAGAAUUUAGAAUGCAGAUGAAUUAAUUCCACAGGUUAAAGAGACCCAUCCUUUUAUAAAUAUAAAAUGCUCAAAAAGUAAUUAAAAUUAUUAAAAACCUGAUUUGGUUGUAUCAGGAUUAUAGGUAUUAAUAUAAAUACUAAUUUAGGGAAUAGACCAUUUUAAAGAUUCUUGCUUGCCUGUAGAUUGUUUUUAUUCUGGUCUUGCAAGAUUUUCAACUUAUCUUCAGUGUUGCAGAGAGGUAAUAAAGUCAGCUAUCCUGGAUCUUAUCUUUGAUUUAAAAUACCUUAUUCUUUCUCACUUUGCUCUGCUCUUUUGGUUCUGGUAGCCUCUGCAAAAUAGAAUAAGUAUUUUCAUUCAAUUCUGCAGGUGGUGAAAGACAUAAAACAUUAGAAUGGGUCCUUUAAAACAGCUGUAAACUAAAAUGAUGCUUGUAAACUGAAAUACUGCAGUUUUGUUCACCCUGAAUUUUAAAAUAGUUUCAUGAGGUAAUUGAGCCUUAAAGGAUCUGUGUUUUUUAACUCUAUAAUGUUAUUAUGCAGUUGCCACAGGGGGAGCAUAUGCUUGCUGCCAAAAUCUAAAACUGGAAUCUUGGAUGUUAAACAGAUAAGAUUAAGUCAUAGACUUCAGCUGUAUUAGAAGCAAGCACAACAUUCAUCUGAAGCAUGUGACAGCUAUGUCCUGGAAAACUGUUUCUAGACAGACAUUCUUGCCUGCUUACAUAGACUGAAAUAGGCCAUUCUCAUUCAUUCAGUCUACUGAGUUUUAAGCACCUCUGUAGAGCUAUUUGCUUGAAUGUUUUCCCCAUUUUCCUGAAGUGUGGCGUUGCUUCUUUAAGGAGCCUUGUAAAUGAAGCCUUUCACCUAAGAUGGUUAUUCUGUUAAGGAUUUCUGUGGUUUUUAUUGGUCACUGAGAACACACCAUGACAUUUGGGUUUUAAGACUUAUUUUUUCUUAAUUGUAUUAAUGGGUUUGAGUCUAUGUUGGAUUUCAGGAA